AAACCACAAGCCGCCGUCACGUAUGUGCUUAUGUAUGUGAAAUCCGCCACACGCCUCAGAGCUGAACGUUUUGGGGUUAAAUGUUUUGGCUUCGAGAACCUGCCUUCAGAGGAGGGGCCUGAAGUUGGAGUCUGUCCUGUCCCCGCCCCCGGCUCGCCCAGCAGGGUCCCGGGCAGCUUCCCCGCGGAGGCUGCCCAUCCCCCUGGUCGCGAUUCGCCCUCAUCUGCCGGGACCGACUUGGAGGAGCCAAGUUGAUGAGGGGUUCGGCGCGUCUCUGGAAACGCGGGGCUGGGCGGGGCGAGAGCGUUCGGGUUUCCGCGUUCGGGUUUCGCGAGCUUAACUCCCUACCCACUUAUGGCUGGGUGGUGAAGUUUUAACUGAACUGAGUUUUCAUUACAAUCCUCAAGUUGCACUGUGUGAACUAGGCCCUGGCAAAACCUGAGAUUGGAAGCAAAGAGAAGUAAGGAAGAGUUUAGGUGGAGGUGGAAGUAGAAGUUAGAUUUUAAAAACCCUCUUGUACGGGGUAUAGGGAACCCUGUACUAUCUUGGUUAUAAUACUGUUAACCUAAAACUGUUCUAAAAUAAAAAGUUAAGAAAAAGUUUAAACAAAACAGGAGACAAAAACCCUGCCUCUUCAUCCCCGGCCAAAAUAGAUUUUAAAUGAUACUAAAUGUAUUCCAUAAAUCUCCCCCAUCCACCACAACCGCCAAUAGCCUUUCCAUUAUGAACCACAAGCUUUUUUACCUUUGAUAGAAAUUGACGUCAAGUAAAUACUGCCUGAUAGUCUGCCUACAGUUCUUGAAAUUAUUCCAUGUCAUUUCGACCAAACUAACUUGGGCGAGGGAUCCAGUCUUUCCUGACUAGAGAGGAUAAAUUUGCAUAGAUAUGCACACAUGUGUCAGUUGAAUGAAUACCUUGUGAAAAAAGCGAUACUUUGUCUUUUUGGUAGUCACUUCCUGAUUUAAAACCAUUCACAACUUUGCCCAAGUUAGUUUGCUGGCGUGUUAUUUUGGAGGCUCCUUAACCAUGAAAUUGUUUGCACCUUCUUUUCUCCUAUAUCACAACCGGAAUCUACUGUUUAAUCUCAAUUAUCCACUUAGAGGCUGUACUUAGAUUAGUUCUAUUACUAAACCAUUUCCCUUGGUUAGAAAGGCACUCCCUACCGCCCCGCCUCCGGAAAACCGGUAUUAGAUCUGCUUCGCACUAUCCAUUAAAAUGCUCGCUUUUUUAAUCUAUUCCUAAGUUUCCAUGAGCUUGACUAAUGUAAGUCUUCCUGACAAAUUAGGUUUCUGGGUCAGUAAGCUGUCUUAGUAUGUUUGGGCGGCAGACUGGGUGGCUUAUAAACAACAAACUUCUCACAGUUCAGGAGUCUGGGAAGUCCAAGAUCAAGGCUCCAGCAGGUUUGUUGUCUGCUCCCUGGCACAUAGUUGUGUAUUUUUAGUUGUGGGUACUUCUAGUUGUGGCAUGUGG